CGCAGAAGAUUCUGGUCUGUGGUGUUCUUCCUGGCCGGUCAUGAGAACGCGUCUAAUAACAUUUACCAAUGAAGACUUAGGAGCCAGAUACUGAGGCCACCAGUAGGUGACCAACUUGUCCCCAGCACAUGCCUCACAGAAGCUGAGAAACAACAGAACCAAGGGACCAUGGAUGACCAAACCAGUGAGGGUGUGAAGAACACAGAGGAACCACCUGAUCCUCCCUUAAAGAAGCCUCAGAGUGCCAGCGGUUGUGCUCUACGUCCUUACAUUUGCUGGGAAGUGCUCACUCAUCUCUUCAAGGCCUGACCUGAAUGGCAUUCGUGAGGGUGCCAGUAUAAACGACAGAGGUCUGAAACUGGAAGCAGAAUAUCCUGACAAGCUCAUUUGUUGGAAUAAGUACUCCCAGUUGGUGGCACUGUUUUAAGAGGUCCAGAGACCAUUUGGAUUUGUGCUGUAGCUAGCCUAGAUGGGAUACAAGGGGAGGAGAGGGGCAGGCCUUGAGCAUAAUAUCUGCUUUUGUUUUAUUCAGCCUGAAUAAGCCCCGCUGCAAGCGCCUGCCACCAGAGACAGAGCCUCCCUGGCUGUCAUGCCUCCACACCAUGGUGGCUGGCACCCUCUGAACUGUGGGCUAAAACUAACUUCUGUUGGGUGCUUUGUCGUGGAGAUGAGAAAUGUGGCUAAGACAGUAAGGGAAAUGCCACCAGAUAAUUUCGAGUCUACUCAAGGAAAUAUUUAUUCUGUUUUUUUCCCACUAAUGUGUCUAUUAAGUUUGGACAGUAGACAAAGUUGAUUGAUAUAUUUUUCAUGGCGUUUGAUCAAGAUUUGUAGCUAACUCUGGAACGUGGUAGGUCUCCAGGUCACACAACCAGUGUGGUGACAGCAAUCAUUCCCUACCAACAGUGUUAGAAGACCAGUGCUGUACCUGCAUCUUCGCUCUCUGAUUAUCCAUCCUUUGGGGUCCUGAAGCCCUUCCUAUACCAACUUCAAGAAAGCUUUUGACCUCUUUUCACAAUAGCCUGCUCUUCCAUUUUCUGGAGAGAUUAUAGUAUGGCUUAAUAGUUUUCUUUGACAGACAUCUGAACACUCUCUAUCCGACCCAACUUUAAAAUAAUCAACAGUAACAUAAUCUUGGAGACUCACCAUUUUAUACAGAAGCAGGUACAUUUGUCGGGAAAAGACUGGAUGCAAAUUGCCAUUUUCUCAGGCUUCCGAGACUUUCUCAGACUUUCCCAGAGUCACCUCCAUUUGUCCCCUGUGAGGAGCUCUGCUAAGCUGACAGCACAGUGUGCACUUUCCUGCUUGGAGCAGAGGCGAACACAUUGCACACGUCUGGACCGCUGCUCCCUUUUCUGUGGGAAAUCGGUGUUUUCCAGGUCUCUCCCUUCUCCCAAUUCCGCAGAGCCUUUGCGGUAUAACAUCAGGGAUUUUAGAGCACUCUGCUAUGAACUGCAAAUGUGCUAGUCCAGGUUCUCAUUUGCUUUAGACGUGUUUGUAGAAUCUCCUAGGCUAGUUUUAGGGUGCUUCUUCAUGGUUUUAGAAAUGCCACCCCCACCCCAAAUUAUGAAGAGUGAGCCAAUUUGCUUUGUACCUUUCCCUUUUUGCAACAUAGCUUACCUCUAGCCACUGGUGUAUUUGUAGACACCUUGGUGUAAAAAGUAAAAGAUAGUCCAAUUUUUAAUUUUUUAAAUAACCUAUCCAGUUUCUUCAAUGCAAUAAAGUGAAGAAAUCUAUUUUUUUCAUAGUGAGACUCCACUAGAGACAGAAACUGCAUCAUGUCAUUUCUAAAUACAUUUGGUUCCAUUUUAAUUUUUACAUUAAAAUAAAAUAACCUAUAUAUUCCAGCAAA